GUAUACUUACAGGUGCGUUUCCAGGAUCUUUUGGUCUUUUUUUGACAUCCUUGGGAGCC
rnacentral:tRNA from 1 species